rnacentral:rRNA from 1 species
GACGAACGCUGGCGGCGUGCUUAACACAUGCAAGUCGAACGGUAAAGCCCGGUUUUUGUAGUGGGCGCAAGUGUCGAACGGGUGAGUAACAUGUGAGUAACCUGCCCUUGACUUUGUGGUAACUGCAUGAAACUGUGGCUAAUACCGUAUAUGAGCUCCGUCUGCAUGGGGGGGUGUGUGAAGUUUCGUUGGUUGGGGAUGGACUCGCGGCUUAUCAGCUUGUUGGUGGGGUAGUGGCUCACCAAGGCGUUGACGGGUAGCCGGCCUGAGAGGGUGACCGGCCACACUGGGACUGAGAUACGGCCCAGACUCCUACGGGAGGCAGCAGUGGGGAAUAUUGCACAAUGGGCGGAAGCCUGAUGCAGCCACGCCGCGUGAGGGAUGACGGCCUUCGGGUUGUAAACCUCUUUCGCCUGUGACGAAGCGUGAGUGACGGUAAUGGCUAAAGAAGCACCGGCUAACUACGUG